UACAGAGGUCUCAAGCGUUUAAUCGGAAUUACUGGGCUUAAAGGGUCCGCAGGCGGUCUGACAAGUACCUUGUGAAAUAUCAGGUCUCAACCCUGAAACUGCUCGGUAGACUGUCAGACUUGAGUGCAAAAGGGGUCGCUGGAACUCUAGGUGGAGCGGUGAAAUGCGUAGAUAUCUAGAGGAACGCCGAAGGUGAAGACAGGCGACUGGUUUGCAACUGACGCUCAUGGACGAAAGCGUGGGGAUCAAACGGG
rnacentral:rRNA from 1 species